GCGGGCUGUGACGUCACGCCACGCGCCGGGGCCAGGAGGAGGCGGGCGCAGGAGGCGCGUGCUCAGUGUGCUGGGUACCAGGCGACUCCGGGACAGGGGGUCUCGGCCGUCGGCGUCAUGGUUUCGCGCGUGCAGCUCCCGCCUGAGAUCCAGCUGGCUCAGCGCCUGGCGGGGAAUGAGCAGGUGGUUUUACGCACGAUGAGCUGCUGAAGGUGUGGAAAGGACUGUUUUAUUGCAUGUGGAUGCAGGACAAGCCACUCCUCCAGGAAGAAUUAGGAAGGACCAUUUCCCAACUCGUUCAUGCUUUUCAGACCACGGAGGCGCAGCACCUGUUCCUUCAGGCCUUCUGGCAGACCAUGAAUCGCGAGUGGACGGGCAUUGACAGGCUGCGCCUGGAUAAAUUCUACAUGCUCAUGCGGAUGGUCCUGAACGAGUCCUUGAAGGUUCUGAAGAUGCGAGGCUGGGAAGAAAGACAGAUCGAGGAGCUGCUAGAGCUGCUGAUGACUGAGAUCCUGCACCCCAGCAGCCAGGCCCCCAACGGGGUGAAGAGCCACUUCAUCGAGAUCUUCCUGGAGGAGCUGGCCAAAG
rnacentral:sRNA from 1 species